rnacentral:tRNA from 1 species
GGUGCCAUAGCUUAGUGGUAAAGCGCUCGCUUCACAAACGAUUGUCGAUUCCACUUGGUGCCU